CCGUGGAGGGUCAUUGGAAACUGGAAAACUUGAGUGCAGAAGAGGAAAGUGGAAUUCCAUGUGUAGCGGGGAAAUGCGCAGAGAUAUGGAGGAACACCAGUGGCGAAGGCGACUUUCUGGUCUGUAACUGACGCUGAUGUGCGAAAGCGUGGGGAUCAAACAGGAUUAGAUACCCUGGUAGUCCACGCCGUAAACGAUGAGUGCUAAGUGUUAGGGGG
rnacentral:rRNA from 1 species